ensembl:lncRNA
UGCAAAAAGAAAAAAGAGGAAUGGGACCUUGAGGUGUAUCAGAAGAAUUUCUUGCAAAGAUGGGAAGAAGUGCCUCCAGAUGUCCAUUUGCCAGCAGCCAGGAGGUCAGUUCCAGCUGGAAGUGGUCUGGAGUCCUACUUUCCGAAUGGUCAGAAGACCCUCAGUUUGACAGUCCUUGUGGGUCCCUUGCAACAAAAGAUGUUCUGUGAUUCCAUGAGUGGGGAUGCUACAGGCCAGGCAAACACAGGCUGUGUGGUCCUGCACCAAUACAACAGUUCUAAUCAACAACUGUAUGGCUUCUGGCUGUAAGAUAUAGGAGCUGCUUCAUGCAGUGGUGAAAAGUUCUGUGAUAGAAGACCUUACAGCUUUAAAGCAGGAGGAGAUCAGCCCAGGGAAGGAAAGAAGCAGCGUGACUGUCUCUGCAGAGCAAAUGUUGAAAAUAUUGCCAGUGUUUCUCCACUUACCCCUACAAAGCCAUAAGAGGUUGCCAAGGACACCUUGGAUGGGCUCUGCCAGCACACAGCUCUUUGCUCUUUCCUUGGCGGUUUGUGACACGACUGAGGGGUGACCCAGCAGCAGCAGUGAGGAGAGCACCCUUGCCACCUGCUUGGGCCUUUGUGUGGACACACUGGGGUAAGUGAGUGGAUUUCAAGCAGAACAGGCCAAAAGGAUCCCUUUUGAGUUAGAUGGCAGAGCAGUGCAAAGCCUUUGGUGUUCAUAG